rnacentral:rRNA from 1 species
GAAUUCACUAGUGAUUCAGGCCUAACACAUGCAAGUCGAGCGGUAGAGAGAAGCUUGCUUCUCUUGAAAAAAACGGACGGGUGAGCAAUGCCUAGGAAUCUGCCUGGUAGUGGGGGAUAACGUUCGGGAACGGAGGCUAAUACCGCAUAGGUCCUGCGGGAGAAAGCAGGGGACCUUCGGGCCUUGCGCUAUCAGAUGAGCCUAGGUCGGAGUAGCUAGUUGGUGAGGUAAUGGCUCACCAAGGCGACGAUCCGUAACUGGUCUGAGAGGAUGAUCAGUCACACUGGAAGGGAGACACGGUCCAGACUCCUACGGGAGGCAGCAGUGGGGAAUAUUGGACAA